AACGAACGCUGGCGGCAUGCCUAACACAUGCAAGUCGAACGAGACCUUCGGGUCUAGUGGCGCACGGGUGCGUAACGCGUGGGAACCUGCCCUUAGGUUCGGAAUAACUCCCCGAAAGGGGUGCUAAUACCGGAUAAUGUCUUCGGACCAAAGAUUUAUCGCCUUUGGAUGGGCCCGCGUUGGAUUAGCUAGUUGGUAGGGUAAAAGCCUACCAAGGCGACGAUCCAUAGCUGGUCUGAGAGGAUGAUCAGCCACACUGGGACUGAGACACGGCCCAGACUCCUACGGGAGGCAGCAGUGGGGAAUAUUGGACAAUGGGCGAAAGACUGAUCCAGCAAUGCCGCGUGAGUGAUGAAGGCCUUAGGGUUGUAAAGCUCUUUUACCCGGGAUGAUAAUGACAGUACCGGGAGAAUAAGCUCCGGCUAACUCCGU
rnacentral:rRNA from 1 species